rnacentral:rRNA from 1 species
UAGGGAAUCUUCGGCAAUGGACGAAAGUCUGACCGAGCAACGCCGCGUGAGUGAAGAAGGUUUUCGGAUCGUAAAACUCUGUUGGUAGAGAAGAACAAGGGUGAGAGUAACUGUUCACCCCUUGACGGUAUCUAACCAGAAAGCCACGGCUAACUACGUGCCAG